GCAGGACUGUGUCCAACAGCGUUCCUGUGGCUCAGGACAGUGUGACCCAGUGACUGGCGGGUGCCAGUGUCCACCUAGCCAGAUGGGAGCCAGGUGUCAGCAAGGAUGUCCCCAAACAAUGUAUGGCCCAAAUUGUGAGCUAAAAAGUACCUGUAAAGAUGGUGGACUUUGCAGUCCUGUAGAUGGAAGCUGUACCUGUGGUCUUGGAUGGACAGGAAAUUACCGUGAAAAAGAGAGAGAGACCACCAGUGGAAGAAGUAGAGGGAAAGGAAGAGAGAGAGAAUCUCGAUCAGACUCCACACUGAGUAUGGAACCUGAUGUGGGGCACAAUCCCAGGACCCCAAGAUCAUGACUUGCUGAAACAGAUUUGGAGCUUAAGUGACUGCACCA